UCUUGUAGUCCUUUGCUUUAAACUUUUUGAACUGGACAGAGGCAGGACAGAUCCAUUUUACCAGGACUCUUUUCAGGGUCACCACUUCUUGGAGGUGUUUUCAUUUAUCUUCUGGCCCAGAUACUGAGAUUAAGUGGCCAGUAGAACAAGUACUUCUUGGUGAAAGAAGGUUGGUGGCUCCACGUUGGCUCGAGGCUCCAAAGGACUUUGUUCACUGUCUGUAAGAGCUUUUCAUUUGUGUAAGAAAAAAUAUAAAGGGCAAAAAAGGGGAUCCCAGUCACAUGGCCUCCCACUGGGGGAAAAAACCCAACAAACAACCUUGUAACAAAAAUUCAUAGCCAAGCAAAAGAAAUGUCCACAUUGUCU